rnacentral:lncRNA from 1 species
CCCACUUUCAAUUGUUCACAAAAGAAAACCCAGCCCACUAUUCCAAUACACACGCAUACAGAAACACCCAGAUGACCUGACCCUGUUCAUCUUCUUCGUGAUUUACUCAGAAAUGCAACAAUACUAAAACACCCUCCUAUAUGCGUUCAUCUUCAUGCGAGAGACGCUUACAGGUACCCAGUACUAUUUUGGUGUCUUUUUCUUUGCUCCAUCGACGAUUCGUACAAAGCUCCAGUGCUAGGUGGAAACGAGAUCAACGAUUCACUUGUCCUGACGUCUAAAUGGAACGACUCUAGUUUUCUUAGUCGUUGAAAUUUGUCACCAGGUGAUGAAUUUUGUAUUACUCGAGCUGUUUUUUAUACCUUUUCCUUUGAGAAAAUUUGAAAUCUUAACUUUUGCCACAUCAUUUUCCCCUCAAUUUCGACCUAGAAUCCUUUCUAUAUAAACCCUCUUCAUUCACUGUUUUAGAGGACGAUUUUCGGAGACUAAAGAGUACCCAGAAAGUUUUGGGAAUUCUUGGUUCCAUAGUUAAAAAUUUUAAAACGUUUAGUGGCUUUUCGAGUUGAAGAAGUGGAGUCGUCUUUUCAACUCAUUGUUCCAGUCGCUGCCCAGAACGAGAUUCAUUUUGAGUGCACUCAAUCUCAAUUCUACUUUCAGACGUGCUCUCUAAAGUAAGCCUCUGCUCUCUUUUUUUUCCACAUCCAGUCCCCUUUUCACAAUGUGGCUAUCUUGCUUGCUUCUUAUGUGAAGGGUUUUAUUUGGUCGGAAAUCAUGAGUUGAUCUUAGGUUUAAUCGAGCUCUAGAUGAAGUUGAAUUCUAAUUCGACUUAUCUUUGGUUGCUCCUAAAUCCUUUAGAUCCUCAUGUCGCUCUUUUGAGAUAUAAAUUCUAAAUUGUGUACAUUGGCUUGGUUUUGGAUUUCUUACUAUUAGCUAAUUAUUAGUUUAGAUGUUCUAUUUGAGAGCUCAUGUGUCAGGCCAUGCGUUACUAAUCCUGAUUGAUUAUUGGUUUGCUCAUUUUUCCAGAAAUAGUAGAGUUCGUUCUUUGCUUUUUUUGUAUAUAAUACUCGUGUCAGUUUAAAGAAACUAAACAUGUUAGCCUGGAAUUCCUUGAAGUCUUUGCUAUGAUCUGUUAUUUCCACUACCCUUCGCAUAUUUAUGUUAAUACAUGUCAAUUGAUCUUAUGUGAUUUUCAUUCUAUGCUCCCUUUUCUUUCAUUUAUUUUAGUGUUAAUAUGGUUUCUGUUAUUGAAUGAAAUUUUGAGAUAAUGACAUGUUGAUUGGCAUUUUAACUUAGAUUCCAUAAGAAUAUGGUUCGUCCUUAAAACAGAUUUAUUCAAAUUUGUGUUUUUUUGUUGUUACGCUUUUCUUCUUUUGAAUUUUACCGUUGCUUCUUUCAUUCAUUUAGUCUCUAUCUUUUGUGACCACUGUUAGCAGUACUCUUAUUUUAUAAUUUCCAGAGUUAUAAAUAUAUGUCUAGUUUAAGUUGGUUGUUUAGCAAUUUAAUUUUUCUUUUUCAUAAAUUCUCUCAUUUGAGUCCAUUUGGACUCCCCAUCUCCUGCAUUUUCCUCUCUGAGUCAACCCUCUUUAAGUAGUGAAAGAGAAGCCAAAAAAACAAGCAGCAACCACAACUCAAAAUAGCUGAAAAUGAAAGUGUUUUCCGUUCAAAUUGGCCGCAAUUUGAACAGCUGAAAUUAGGCAGAAUUGUAGCAGUUUCAAAGUGUUAAAACGACUUUCUUUUCGACUUUAAAAGUCAGAGAAAAUCACAACAGGAACAGAAAGCAUUUUGGGUCGAAGGCCUUAGAUCUCAGCGGCAAAAGACAACAAUUUUAGCCCCCUAAAAUAGUUUGAUUGGGGCUGAAAUUUUCAGUUUUGGAUUCUCUGUUUAUGUUACUUCCUUUUUAUUAUUGUUAUUGUUGUGAUUGCUAACAUUCUCUAACAUUUUAUUGGCUUGGAUGAAUCCUCAUAUGAGUUUAACAUUAUUUAGUUUUUCCCUUUAUCAAAUUCCUUUUCAAGGAGUUGGAUUUGUUAACACAGUUUAUUUUUAGGCGACUUAAGCUUAUGGAAUAACUGAAGAACUAUGUAUGUUCUUUCAUAUUUAUUAAAAAGCUUUGAAUCCAUGUUUUAUGAAUUUGAACUAGCCAUUUGGUUCAAAAUAAUAACUCGGAUAAAUUAUUAAGUCAAAAAAUAUUUUCGACGGUUUUUACACCUUAAACAUCUUCCUUACUUAACAAGUGACCUUAAGUUUUUUCUUAAAUAUUAGCCAAACUUUAAAAUCCGUCGGUCAUCCGCGUGUUAGCGGAUUCUCUAAGGCGCCUAAACCCUUCCUUAAAGAAUUAUUUGAACCCUUACCCGACUUUGGUUUUAAAUGUUUUCUUUCAAAAAUCUCCUUUUAAAUGAUUUUCUUAUUUUUUUCCUAAACAAUAAGUGGUGACUUCCUAAAAUUUUUUUUUUCCAAAAACACAACAAAAAAUUGACCAAAGUUGCGAAAUCGUCUUUGAAACCUUUUCAGUUUUUGAAACCGGGUCGUAACAGAAUGACAACUCUGCUAGGGAUUCAUCUAGGUUCUAACCCAAAGGAUUUUAUUAUUUGGCUAACUAUUAUUGUAUUAAUUGUUAUUUGAUGCAAUUGUGUUUAAAUUUUGAUUAUUAACUAUUAUAUUGCAUUCAUGGUAUCUUCUGAUAUUAUAUGUACAGUAUAUUAAAGAAUGGUUUGCGAAACUGCAACCAGACUUUUUAUACUCAACCUUUUUUUGGAAUUACUGAUAAUUUAUUUGUUCGUCAUGUGUUCAAUAGUUAUCGUGAAUUUCAGCCUAAGUUGUCCGCUUAGGCUCCCGGUCCUUCAAAAGCCACUCUUAGUCAACUAAGUUAGAGCUCAACCAAAACCCUUUUUAGGCGCAUUAACCUAAGAUGAUCCAAUACCAAAGGUGUAUUGGACCCAUUAUAAGACCCCCUUGAGUCAAAUUCACCCUCGGUCAAUAUAAGACGAUCAUUCAAUUAUUUGUUAAAUUUGAAGGAUAUGUAUGUCGAUUUGUAAGUACCAUUGUCCUUUGGGGUUGGGAUCUUUAUUUUUAUAGGUAGUUUGUUUGUUUAAUUCAAGUGAAGACUCUCCUCAUCAAGAAGAAUUUAAAAAGCUUCAAGAAGUUCGGGAAUGAAGAUUCAUAUCGAAGCUUAGCUUAGUUUACCAUUGUACCCCUACGUGGGACUGAUAUUUAUUUCCCUUUCCUCUAUUGUGUAUCCCUAUUUAUUUUAUUCAUAAGUUUUGUAUAAAUAUUUUUGGGUCAAUGGAACGAUUUACAAAUGAUAUAUAUAUCCCUCAAACGUUAGGCUUACCUUUGACUUAAAAGGUCACACGUAUGUUAGGAGGCGUUGUAUAUUGUUAGUGUGUUAAAUGUUACAUUUAUGCUUGUUUGACCUAUAUGUUUUUAUACAUAUGUUUUUCUUUAAACAUAACUGGUCCAUUAUUCAAUUCUAAUAUCUUAGAAAAAAUCAAUUCAAUUUUCAAACCUCCCAAAAUACUUUAACUCCAUUACGAAAAUACAUUUAAA